AACUCGUCCGAAAAGCGACCAUACAAUGGCCCGAAAACUGAGAAUCUACCACACCAAAACCUCGAGUGUAUACCAGUUGUCAAAGAAGCAAUUGUUAUAACGAGUUGAUCAGAAUAUUUGACAAACAUUUCUAAUAUUCAGGUCAUAUUUCAGUAUCCACAGAACGAGGAACAAUGAUAAUUUCCACAGGUGGCGAUGAAAGGAGUUGAAUGACAGACGGUGUUUUCUGGGCCGCGAUUGAAUGCUGCAUCGCCCGUUAUUGUUCCAUCUUUGAGUCGGUAGACCUCGGGGACCAGCACAAUUCCUUCCAGUGGUCCUGCAUUCCUCGCUCCUCUGAGACGGUGCUUCGUCACCCUGAGUCUUCACUUUGAAGCAAAGUUAGAAAAAAAAGAUAAACGAUGGUCCUUUCCAAUCAGCACUCUUUGCAAAUCCAAUCAGAUGACCAUCUACUGGAUAAUCGGCCAAAGAUUAAGGAUACAUAGAAACUCAUUAUCUACUUAGAAGAUUAGAAGCUAUACUCGACCAAAGAUUAUAAAGUUGUUAUCAAAGGAGAUUACGAACAUGUGUCAAUCAAGAAUGCGGUCCAAAGACGAUUGUGAUGUACGCAAAGAGGGACCAAAUUAUCAUUUAAACCCCCGGCAGUCCUCGCUAAAGUACACACAAUGACUAAGAGCUAUUUGGAAUUAGCACUUUAAAUUGUUUUUGUUUAAAAGCAAUUGACAAAAAUAAUAACAAAAAGAAACUGUGGUGGAACAUGACAAAACCCGGUUUUGUUUUAAAGGAUUAUUUCCGUGUUGAAGAUAUCUGUUUCGCGGCGUAGGACUUCAAAAAUGAGAUUGCAACAUUUUUGUUGACAAAGAAAUGUGUGAUGUUCUUUUUUAGAGAUAGAUGCUCAAAGAUAAAAUUCCAUCAGUAUAGGUUGUCAGCCAUAGAUAAUAUGUGUUCUUUCCUUAAAUAAUUCAUUUUAACUUCGUAGAUGACCUUGAUUUCCAUUUAACUAUACUGGUAUAGAUAGGAAUUUGUCAUUUAUCAAUAUCAUUUAUUUUCUUUUUUGAAGAAACAAUGAUUGUUUCUUAAUUUUCGAAGAAACAAUGUGAUUUUACGACGAUGUUGUAUGUCAUAUGAUGUAUCCAGCAUAUUCGUUCGAUUUUCCUGAAGAUUUAGAAUUAAUAAAAAAAAAA
rnacentral:sRNA from 1 species